CCAGACUCCUACGGGAGGCAGCAGUGGGGAAUAUUGCACAAUGGGCGCAAGCCUGAUGCAGCCAUGCCGCGUGUAUGAAGAAGGCCUUCGGGUUGUAAAGUACUUUCAGUCGGGAGGAAGGUGGUAAGGUUAAUAACCUUAUCAAUUGACGUUACCGACAGAAGAAGCACCGGCUAACUCCGUGCCAGCAGCCGCGGUAAUACGGAGGGUGCAAGCGUUAAUCGGAAUUACUGGGCGUAAAGCGCACGCAGGCGGUCUGUCAAGUCGGAUGUGAAAUCCCCGGGCUCAACCUGGGAACUGCAUUCGAAACUGGCAGGCUGGAGUCUUGUAGAGGGGGGUAGAAUUCCAGGUGUAGCGGUGAGAUGCGUAGAGAUCUGGAGGAAUACCGGUGGCGAAGGCGGCCCCCUGGACAAAGACUGACGCUCAGGUGCGAAAGCGUGGGGAGCAAACAGGAUUAGAUACCCCAGUAACC
rnacentral:rRNA from 1 species